rnacentral:rRNA from 1 species
CAUAAUCACUUGCCUUUUAAUUGAAGGCUAGAAUAAAUGGAUCCACGAGACUCUAACUAUCUUAUUUAAACAUUAAUAAACUACACCCCAAGUGAAGAUUCUUGGAUAUAUUUGAAAGACAAGAAGACCCUAUAGAGUUUAAAUUUUAUACUCCACAAUACUACCACAAUUUUGGUUGGGGCGACCAAGGAUUUAUUAUAAACAUCCUACUAAAUCUAAGAAUACUCUAUAAAACAAUCCCUAAAAAGGAAAUGUAAUUAACUACCUUAGGGAUAACAGGCUUAUCUUCCUAAAGAGCCCAAAUCGACAGGAAGGUUUGGCACCUCGAUGUUGGCUUAGAGAACCCAAAUAAAGUAAAAAUUAUUAUGGUUAGUUUGUUCAACUAUUAAAUCUCUACGUGAUCUGAGUCAGACCGGACA